AACGAACGCUGGCGGCAGGCUUAACACAUGCAAGUCGAGCGACCCGCAAGGGGAGCGGCAGACGGGUGAGUAACGCGUGGGAAUCUACCCAUAUCUACGGAAUAACGCAUGGAAACGUGUGCUAAUACCGUAUACGUCCUUUGGGAGCAAGAUUUAUCGGAGAUGGAUGAGCCCGCGUUGGAGUAGCGAGUUGGUGGGGUAAAGGGCUAACAAGGCGACGAUCCAUAGAGCGUCUGAGAGAGGGAUCAGCCACACUGGGACUGAGACACGGCCCUGACUCCUGAGGGAGGCAGCAGUGGGGAAUAUUGGACAAUGGGCGAAAGCCUGAUUCAGCCAUGCCGCGUGGGUGCUGAAGGCCCUAGGGUUGUAAAGUUCUUUCACCGGUGAAUAUAAUGACGGUAACCGGAGAAGAAGCCCCGGCUAACUUCGUGCCAGCCGCCGCCGUAAUAC
rnacentral:rRNA from 1 species